GACGAACGCUGGCGGCGUGCCUAACACAUGCAAGUCGAGCGAUGAAAAAGAAGUAGAUCUCUUCGGAGUGACGCCUCUUUGGAUUAGCGGCGGACGGAUGAGUAACACGUGAGCAACCUGCCGUACACAUUGGGAUAGCCUCGGGAAACUGGGAUUAAUACCAAACGAAACAUAUUGAUAGCAUUGUCAAAAUGUCAAAGAUUUAUCGGUGUACGAUGGGCUCGCGUCUGAUUAGCUAGUUGGUGAGAUAAAAGCUCACCAAGGCAAUGAUCAGUAGCCGGCCUGAGAGGGUGAUCGGCCACAUUGGGACUGAGACACGGCCCAAACUCCUACGGGAGGCAGCAGUGGGGAAUAUUGCACAAUGGAGGGAACUCUGAUGCAGCGACGCCGCGUGAGCGAAGAAGGAAUUCGUUUCGUAAAGCUCCGUCCUAUGGGAAGAUAAUGACGGUACCAUAGAAGAAAGCCCCGGCUAACUACGUGCCAGCAGCCGCCGUAAAAC
rnacentral:rRNA from 1 species